UACGUAGGGUGCGAGCGUUGUCCGGAUUUAUUGGGCGUAAAGAGCUCGUAGGCGGUCUGUCGCGUCGGAUGUGAAAACCCAGGGCUCAACCCUGGGCCUGCAUUCGAUACGGGCAGACUAGAGUACGGCAGGGGAGACUGGAAUUCCUGGUGUAGCGGUGAAAUGCGCAGAUAUCAGGAGGAACACCGGUGGCGAAGGCGGGUCUCUGGGCCGAUACUGACGCUGAGGAGCGAAAGCGUGGGGAGCGAACAGG
rnacentral:rRNA from 1 species